GUCCUUUUGGUGUAAUUAAGCAUGCUUGCCUUCCAAGUAAGAGGCCUUUUAAAUAAAGAUGGGAU
rnacentral:tRNA from 1 species